rnacentral:rRNA from 1 species
AGAGUUUGAUCAUGGCUCAGAUUGAACGCUGGCGGCAUGCCUUACACAUGCAAGUCGAACGGCAGCACGAGAGCUUGCUCUUGGUGGCGAGUGGCGAACGGGUGAGUAAUAUAUCGGAACGUACCCUAGAGUGGGGGAUAACGUAGCGAAAGUUACGCUAAUACCGCAUACGAUCUACGGAUGAAAGUGGGGGAUCGCAAGACCUCAUGCUCAUGGAGCGGCCGAUAUCUGAUUAGCUAGUUGGUGGGGUAAAAGCUCACCAAGGCGACGAUCAGUAGCUGGUCUGAGAGGACGACCAGCCACACUGGAACUGAGACACGGUCCAGACUCCUACGGGAGGCAGCAGUGGGGAAUUUUGGACAAUGGGCGCAAGCCUGAUCCAGCAAUGCCGCGUGAGUGAAGAAGGCCUUCGGGUUGUAAAGCUCUUUUGUCAGGGAAGAAACGGUGGACUCUAAUACAGAUCACUAAUGACGGUACCUGAAGAAUAAGCACCGGCUAACUACGUGCCAGCAGCCGCGGUAAUACGUAGGGUGCAAGCGUUAAUCGGAAUUACUGGGCGUAAAGCGUGCGCAGGCGGUUGUGCAAGACAGAUGUGAAAUCCCCGGGCUCAACCUGGGAAUUGCAUUUGUGACUGCACGGCUAGAGUGUGUCAGAGGGGGGUAGAAUUCCACGUGUAGCAGUGAAAUGCGUAGAGAUGUGGAGGAAUACUGAUGGCGAAGGCAGCCCCCUGGGAUAACACUGACGCUCAUGCACGAAAGCGUGGGGAGCAAACAGGAUUAGAUACCCUGGUAGUCCACGCCCUAAACGAUGUCUACUAGUUGUCGGGUCUUAAUUGACUUGGUAACGCAGCUAACGCGUGAAGUAGACCGCCUGGGGAGUACGGUCGCAAGAUUAAAACUCAAAGGAAUUGACGGGGACCCGCACAAGCGGUGGAUGAUGUGGAUUAAUUCGAUGCAACGCGAAAAACCUUACCUACCCUUGACAUGUCUGGAAUCCUUGAGAGAUCAGGGAGUGCUCGAAAGAGAAUCAGAACACAGGUGCUGCAUGGCUGUCGUCAGCUCGUGUCGUGAGAUGUUGGGUUAAGUCCCGCAACGAGCGCAACCCUUGUCAUUAGUUGCUACGAAAGGGCACUCUAAUGAGACUGCCGGUGACAAACCGGAGGAAGGUGGGGAUGACGUCAAGUCCUCAUGGCCCUUAUGGGUAGGGCUUCACACGUCAUACAAUGGUACAUACAGAGGGCCGCCAACCCGCGAGGGGGAGCUAAUCCCAGAAAGUGUAUCGUAGUCCGGAUUGUAGUCUGCAACUCGACUACAUGAAGUUGGAAUCGCUAGUAAUCGCGGAUCAGCAUGUCGCGGUGAAUACGUUCCCGGGUCUUGUACACACCGCCCGUCACACCAUGGGAGCGGGUUUCACCAGAAGUGGGUAGCCUAACCGCAAGGAGGGCGCUCACCACGGUGGGAUUCGUGACUGGGGUGAAGUCGUAACAAGGUA